rnacentral:lncRNA from 1 species
CCCAAUGUGGCAGUGUUGGAAGGUGGGGUCAAGUGGGAGGUGUUUGGGUCAUGGAGACAUAUCCUUCAUAAAUGGCUUGGUGCUGUUUUCAAAGUGUCAGCUUCCUCUUUGACGUUCUUUGCCAUGUUAUGGUGCAGCAAGAAAGCCCUUGCCAGAAGCCAAGGUCAUGUCCUUGAACUUCCAAGUCUGCAGAACCGUGAGCUAAAUAAACCUCUUUACCUCGUACAUUACCCAGUCUCUGGUAUUCU